GAAAGGAUGAUAUGUAUCUGAAUACAAUACUUUGCUUCCUGAAAGUGCUGCUUGUACUUGUUUUAGCAACCUUUUAUUUGUAUUGGAAGACAGCCAACAGGAGGAAGCCCGGCAACAAGCAUCUUACGACAUCCAAGAUUAUAUAGAUCCUGAAAAGUCGAUUUAGGGGGUACUGGAGGGAUCAAAUAAAGAUGGACUUAUAUUACCUCUACAAAGUUCUGG